AUGGGGCGCGCCAUGCGGUGGCUCAAGAAGCUGCUCACCGGCGGCGGCGGCAAGAAGGAAGGGGCCAAGGACCAGAGCGCCGCCGCGCCGCCGGUCGAGAGGAGGAGAUGGAGCUUCGCCAAGGCCAGGAGCAGCGUCGCCGACGCCAGCCGCAGGCCUUCCGUCACCGCCGUGGUCGCCGGCGAGCUCUCUCAGUCUCAGGCGAGGCCGUGCGGGUGCGGCCAGGCGCGCGAGACGGAGGCCGCCGUCUUGAUGCAGAAGGCGUUCAGAGGGUACCUGGCCAGGAAGGCUCUCCGCGCCCUCAAGUCGCUGGUGAAGCUGCAGGCCCUGGUGCGCGGCUACCUGGUGCGGAAGCAGGCGGCCACGACGCUGCACCGGCUGCAGGCGCUCAUGAGGCUGCAGGCCUCCUCGCAGGCCCUCAAGAACCUCUCCUCCCGGAGGUCCAUCCAGCAGGAGCGGAAGACGUCGGUGCCGGUGGCGCACCGCCGGAGGCUGUCGGAGGGCGGCGCCGGGGACGACCGCAGCCCCCGGAUCGUGGAGAUGGACACGUGCCAGCUGCGGUGCCGGUCGUCGCGGAUCGCGGGCCGGUACGCGGCCGCCGACCCGCAGGCGCCGCCGAUCUCCUCGCCGCUCGCCUACUUCUGCAAGCCGCCGUCGCGGCUGCAGGUGCGGGAGCUGGAGCCGCGGCAGCCCAAGACGACGCAGAACACGCCCCGCCUCCCGGCCAUCGUGCCCGGCGGAUCGCCGGCGAAAGCCCGGCCCUCGUGCGGCGGCGGGGGCGGGCGGGAGUCGAGCAGCCCGCGGUACAUGGCGGACACGGCCUCGUCCGUGGCGAGGGGCCGGUGCCAGAGCGCGCCGAGGCAGCGGCACGGCAGCAACAACCCCGCCUUGGCGCGCGGCGGGUCGAGGAAGGCGGCGCCGCAGCCGCAGUCGCAGGACAGCUUGAGCUUCAAGAGCUCGGAGGCGUGCAGCCGCGUGGAGGACUACUCCGAGAUGAGCGACGAGGUGACCAGGGACUACUACCUCGACCAGCUCUGGUGA
rnacentral:rRNA from 1 species